UACGGAGGGUGCAAGCGUUAUCCGGAAUCACUGGGUUUAAAGGGUGCGUAGGCGGGGGUGUAAGUCAGUUGUGAAAUGCCCCGGCUUAACCGGCGGAAGUGCGAUUGAUACUGCAUCACUUGAAUCAGGAUGAGGCAGGCGGAAUGUGGCAUGUAGCGGUGAAAUGCUUAGAUAUGACCUAGAACCCCAAUUGCGAAGGCAGCUUGCUUGGCCUGAAAUGACGCUGGGGCACGAAAGCGUGGGGCGGAAACAGG
rnacentral:rRNA from 1 species